UACGAAGGGGGCUAGCGUUGCUCGGAAUCACUGGGCGUAAAGCGCACGUAGGCGGCUUUUUAAGUCAGGGGUGAAAUCCUGGAGCUCAACUCCAGAACUGCCUUUGAUACUGAGAGGCUCGAGUCCGGGAGAGGUGAGUGGAACUGCGAGUGUAGAGGUGAAAUUCGUAGAUAUUGGGAAGAACACCGGUGGCGAAGGCGGCUCACUGGCUCGUAACUGACGCUCAUGCACGACAGCGUGGGGAUCAAACAGG
rnacentral:rRNA from 1 species